rnacentral:miRNA from 1 species
UGAAUGUUAUGAAGGUCCACGGC